rnacentral:rRNA from 2 species
CGCCCCUCAGUGCUGCAGCUAAACGCAUUAAGGCAUUCCGCCUGGGGAGGUACGGCCGCAAGGCUGAAACUCAAAGGAAUUGACGGGGGCCCGCACAAAGCGGUGGAGCAUGUGGUUUAAUUCGAAGCUACGCGAAGAACCUUACCAGGUCUUGACAUACUAUGCAAAUCUAAGAGAUUAGACGUUCCCUUCGGGGACAUGGAUACAGGUGGUGCAUGGUUGUCGUCAGCUCGUGUCGUGAGAUGUUGGGUUAAGUCCCGCAACGAGCGCAACCCUUAUUAUCAGUUGCCAGCAUUAAGUUGGGCACUCUGGUGAGACUGCCGGUGACAAACCGGAGGAAGGUGGGGAUGACGUCAAAUCAUCAUGCCCCUUAUGACCUGGGCUACACACGUGCUACAAUGGAUGGUACAACGAGUUGCGAACUCGCGAGAGUAAGCUAAUCUCUUAAAGCCAUUCUCAGUUCGGAUUGUAGGCUGCAACUCGCCUACAUGAAGUCGGAAUCGCUAGUAAUCGCGGAUCAGCAUGCCGCGGUGAAUACGUUCCCGGGCCUUGUACACACCGCCCGUCGCACCAAUGAGAGUUUGUAACA